rnacentral:tRNA from 1 species
GGGAUCUUAGCUCAGCUGGUUUAGAGCGCUACCUUGACAGGGUAGAAGUCAUGGGUUCGAAUCCCUUAGAUCCCACCA